rnacentral:rRNA from 1 species
UGGGGAAUAUUGGACAAUGGGCGAAAGCCUGAUCCAGCCAUGCCGCGUGAGUGAUGAAGGCCCUAGGGUUGUAAAGCUCUUUCGGCGGGGAAGAUAAUGACUGUACCCGCAGAAGAAGCCCCGGCUAACUUCGUGCCAGCAGCCGCGGUAAUACGAAGGGGGCUAGCGUUGUUCGGAAUCACUGGGCGUAAAGCGUAUGUAGGCGGAUUGUUAAGUCAGGGGUGAAAUCCCGAGGCUCAACCUCGGAACUGCCUUUGAUACUGGCUUUCUUGAGUUCGGGAGAGGUGAGUGGAACUCCUAGUGUAGAGGUGAAAUUCGUAGAUAUUAGGAAGAACACCAGUGGCGAAGGCGGCUCACUGGCCCGAAACUGACGCUGAUGUACGAAAGCGUGGGGAGCAAACAGGAUUAGAUACCCCGGUAGUCC